UGAGGAGGAGGGCAUCAAGCAUGAGUUCUCUUCUCCCUGCACACCUCAACAAAAUGGUGUUGUGGAGAGGAAGAAUAAGAGUUCUUCCUCUCCACAACACCAUUUUGUUGGGGUGUGUAUGCAGAAGAAAACUCAUGCUUGAUGCCCUCCUCCUCA
rnacentral:pre_miRNA from 7 species